rnacentral:rRNA from 1 species
AGUUGUGUAGUGCGAUCGGUGGAUGCCUUGGCACCAAGAGCCGAUGAAGGACGUUGUGACCUGCGAUAAGCCCUGGGGAGUUGGUGAGCGAGCUGUGAUCCGGGGGUGUCCGAAUGGGGAAACCUGGAAUGUCCGGAGUAGUGUCCGGUGGCCCUGCCCUGAAUGUAUAGGGGUGUGGGUGGUAACGCGGGGAAGUGAAACAUCUUAGUACCCGUAGGAAGAGAAAACAAGUGUGAUUCCGUGAGUAGUGGCGAGCGAAAGCGGAGGAGGCUAAACCGUGUGUGUGUUCAAGCCGGCAGGUGUUGCAUGUGCGGGGUUGUGGGGGCCUUGUGGUUCUGCUGCCGCAGGAUUGGCCAGUGAGAAAUGUUGCGUGAAGGUGAAGCGUCUGGGAAGGCGUACCGGAGUGGGUGAGAGUCCUGUAACUGUAAGCGUGGCACUGGUGUGGGGUUGCCCCGAGUAGCGUGGAACUCGUGGAAUUUCGCGUGAAUCUGGCGGGACCACCCGUCAAGCCUAAAUACUCCUUGGUGACCGAUAGUGGAUGAGUACCGUGAGGGAAGGGUGAAAAGUACCCCGGGAGGGGAGUGAAAGAGUUCCUGAAACCGGUCGCAUGCAAGCCGUCAGAGCCUGUGUGGUGAUGGCGUGCCUUUUGAAGAAUGAGCCUGCGAGUUAGUGAUGCGUGGCGAGGUUAACCCGUGGUGGGGGAGUCGUAGCGAAAGCGAGUCCGAUAAGGGCGUGAGUCGCGUGUUCUAGACCCGAAGCGGUGUGAUCUAUCCAUGGCCAGGAUGAAGCGUCGGUAAGACGUCGUGGAGGUCCGAAC